rnacentral:rRNA from 1 species
CGGGGAUACUCCUAUAAGACGAAAAGACCCCAUGGAGCUUCAAACCCAACUACACCCUUAACUACCACAACCGCACAACCUCUUAGGGCCCUGUAUAGUUGGUUUUAGGUUGGGGCGACCACGGAGUACAACCAAACCUCCGCAAUGGACGGGACCACUCCCUUAUCUAAGAGCCACACCUCUAAGAAUUAAAACACUAACAUAAAAUGAUCCAUGAUCUGAUCAAUGAACCAAGUUACCCUGGGGAUAACAGCGCAAUCCAUUUCAAGAGCCCUUAUCGACAAGUGGGUUUACGACCUCGAUGUUGGAUCAGGGUAUCCUAGUGGUGCAGCAGCUACUAAUGGUUCGUUUGUUCAACGAUUAAAACCCU